UACAGAGGUGGCGAGCGUUGUUCGGAUUUACUGGGCGUAAAGGGUGCGUAGGUGGUUCUGUGUGUCGGAUGUAAAAGCCUGGAGCUUAACUCCAGAACGUCAUUCGAAACUGCAGAGCUAGAGUGCAGGAGAGGAGAGCGGAAUUCUUGGUGUAGCGGUGAAAUGCGUUGAUAUCAAGAAGAACACCGGAUGCGAAGGCGGCUCUCUAGUAUGUUACUGACACUGAGGCACGAAAGCCGGGGGAGCAAACAGG
rnacentral:rRNA from 1 species